ACACAUGCAAGUCGAACGGAAUCAAGAGGAGCUUACUUUUCUUGAUUUAGUGGCGAACGGGUGAGUAACGCGUGAGUAACCUGCCCUGGAGUGGGGGACAACAGUUGGAAACGACUGCUAAUACCGCAUAAGCCCACGGUGCUGCAUGGUACUGGGGGAAAAGGAUUUAUUCGCUUCAGGAUGGACUCGCGUCCAAUUAGCUAGUUGGUGAGGUAACGGCCCACCAAGGCGACGAUUGGUAGCCGGACUGAGAGGUUGAACGGCCACAUUGGGACUGAGACACGGCCCAGACUCCUACGGGAGGCAGCAGUGGGGGAUAUUGCACAAUGGGGGAAACCCUGAUGCAGCGACGCCGCGUGGAGGAAGAAGGUUUUCGGAUUGUAAACUCCUGUCGUUAGGGACGAUAAUGACGGUACCUAACAAGAAAGCACCGGCUAACUACGUGCCAGCAGCCGCGGUAAAACGUAGGGUGCAAGCGUUGUCCGGAAUUACUGGGUGUAAAGGGAGCGCAGGCGGACCGGCAAGUUGGAAGUGAAAUCCAUGGGCUCAACCCGUGAAUUGCUUUCAAAACUGCUGGCCUUGAGUAGUGCAGAGGUAGGUGGAAUUCCCGGUGUAGCGGUGGAAUGCGUAGAUAUCGGGAGGAACACCAGUGGCGAAGGCGACCUACUGGGCACCAACUGACGCUGAGGCUCGAAAGCAUGGGUAGCAAACAGGAUUAGAUACCCUGGUAGUCCAUGCCGUAAACGAUGAUUACUAGGUGUUGGAGGAUUGACCCCUUCAGUGCCGCAGUUAACACAAUAAGUAAUCCACCUGGGGAGUACGACCGCAAGG
rnacentral:rRNA from 1 species